rnacentral:rRNA from 1 species
AUUGAACGCUGGCGGCAGGCCUAACACAUGCAAGUCGAGCGGUAGCACAGAGAGCUUGCUCUCGGGUGACGAGCGGCGGACGGGUGAGUAAUGUCUGGGAACUGCCUGAUGGAGGGGGAUAACUACUGGAAACGGUAGCUAAUACCGCAUAACGUCGCAAGACCAAAGAGGGGGACCUUCGGGCCUCUUGCCAUCAGAUGUGCCCAGAUGGGAUUAGCUAGUAGGUGGGGUAACGGCUCACCUAGGCGACGAUCCCUAGCUGGUCUGAGAGGAUGACCAGCCACACUGGAACUGAGAGACGGUCCAGACUCCUACGGGAGGCAGCAGUGGGGAAUAUUGCACAAUGGGCGCAAGCCUGAUGCAGCCAUGCCGCGUGUAUGAAGAAGGCCUUCGGGUUGUAAAGUACUUUCAGCGGGGAGGAAGGCGAUAAGGUUAAUAACCUUGUCGAUUGACGUUACCCGCAGAAGAAGCACCGGCUAACUCCGUGCCAGCCGCCGCAGUAA